UACGUAGGUCCCGAGCGUUGUCCGGAUUUAUUGGGCGUAAAGCGAGCGCAGGUGGUUUAUUAAGUCUGGUGUAAAAGGCAGUGGCUCAACCAUUGUAUGCAUUGGAAACUGGUAGACUUGAGUGCAGGAGGGGAGAGUGGAAUUUCAUGUGUAGCGGUGAAAUGCGUAGAUAUAUGGAGGAACACCGGUGGCGAAAGCGGCUCUCUGGCCUGUAACUGACACUGAGGCUCGAAAGCGUGGGGAGCAAACAGG
rnacentral:rRNA from 1 species